AUGGCGCGAGGCAACCUCGUUCGUGGGCUACCUCACAUCGAGCACGCCGACGAGCUGUGUGAUGCAUGUCUUGCGGGGAAGCAGCGGCGUCUGCCGUUUCCUGAGAAGGCACGCUAUCGGGCGCAGAAACCCCUGGAGCUGGUUCACAGGGACCUCUGCGGCCCAAUCACCCCGGCAACGCCAGGAGGGCGUCGCUACAUCCUGCUGCUCGUUGACGACUAUAGCAGGUUCAUGUGGGUGCUGCUCCUCGCCUCCAAGGAUGAGGCGGAGCAAGCCAUUGUCAAGCAGCAAGCGGCAGCAGAGGUCGAGUGCGGCCACAAGUUGCGUGUGCUGCGCACGGACCGUGGCGGCGAGUUCACGUUGGCCACGUUCUACAAGCACUGCGAUGAGAAAGGGGUGCAACGUCACCUCACAGCCCCUUACUCGCCGCAGCAGAACGGCGUCGUCGAGCGGAGGAACCAGACGGUGCUUGGGAUGGCACGCUGCAUGCUCAAGGCAAAGCAGGUGCCGAGCACGUAUUGGGGGGAGGCCGUGCUCACGGCCGUCUUCAUCCUCAACCGCUCCUUCACAAGGAGCGUCGAUGGCAAGACGCCUUAUGAGGCGUGGUACGGAAGGAAGCCCGAUGUACGCUUCCUCCGCACCUUUGGCUGCGUCGGGCAUGUCAAGAUGGCGCGCCCACAGCUGAAGAAGCUCGAUGACAGGAGCACCCCGAUGGUGUUCAUGGGCUAUGAGACGGGCUCUAAGGCGUACAAGAUGUACGACACCGUCUCAAAGAGUGUGCAUGUCUCGCGCGAUGUCAUCUUCGACGAAGACGCGCGAUGGACUUGGGAGGUGUCGGGGGAGGCCCCGGCAAGCAGCUCCUUCACUGUGGAGUACCCGAUGUACUCUACAACCCCGGGAAGCAAGACCCCGGGAAGUGCCACCCCGGGAAGCUCGGGAGGUGUGGAUCCGGGAACAGCAACCCCGAGAACACCGUCCCCGGGUACGGUGUCGCCAGACACCACGACGUCAAGCAACGUGGGUCCCGGGAGGCAGUUCGCAACCCCGCCAACGGCGAGGUCGGAGCUGUUCGACACCGACGACAGCGUUGGCGCCCCCCACAGGUUUCGGCGCAUGGGGGAUCUCCUCGGCGAGGCUGCGGCAACACCGCGACAGCCCGAGGAUGAGGACACUGAUGACGACGAGGUCUUGCAUCUGAUGGCCGGCGAGGAGCUGACCACGUUCGCGGAGGCCGAGCAAGAGGAUUGCUGGCGCCACGCGAUGCUGGACGAGCUGGCGUCGAUCAACGACAACGCCACUUGGACACUCACCACGCUGCCUGCUGGGCACCGAGCCAUCGGGCUCAAGUGGGUGUUCAAGGUGAAGAAGGACGAGCACGGUGCCAUUGUCAAGCACAAGGCGCGCCUCGUCGCAAAGGGCUACGUGCAGCGUGAGGGAGUGGACUUCGAGGAAGUCUUUGCUCCGGUGGCAAGGCUGGAGUCGGUGCGGCUCAUCCUUGCCGUGGCCGCUCACCGCGGGUGGGAAGUACACCACAUGGAUGUCAAGUCGGCGUUU
rnacentral:rRNA from 1 species